UAUGUUUAUAAACUUAUUGAACAGAAACGAUAAAAGAUCUAUCAUUAAAAUAGAUUUUCCGAAUGACGAGAUACAUUCAAUGUUCACAUAUUCGCGCUGCUUCACAAUAUUGGAGGCGAAAUAUACCGCGCAUCGGGAAAAAGAAACUUAUAAUCCGAAAACAUACUGACAAUGUCAUGUGAAAAAACGAAAAACGGCCAAAAGACAAACAAUUGUAAAUAAAUGGGGAAAUGUGUCCAUGGGACACAGAUGAUGCGCCCGCUUGCAUAUAUGAUGUUAUAAAGUGAUAUUACUAAAAAACUUUAAAAGUGACGCCACCAAAAUUUAAACUAGAUCUGUGAUUUGUUUUGGUAAUCAGCAUUGUGUAUAAGUCUUCCAAAAUUUGUUUGAGGCAAACUAAAGUUAGAGAACGAAAACCAAUUUUGGACGGUACGAUGGACGGACAGACGGACAAGUGUUAAAAGUAAUGCCCCCUCCGCUACGGCGUGUGCAAAAAAAAAUCACAACAUUUAACUUUUAAUCCUCCAAUAGUUGCAGGAGGUCAUGCAUAUAAAAUAUAUAAAAUUAUGGUUCAAUAACACGCUGAGAACAUAACAUUAACAUGAACACAUACUUCGAUCCAAAUAGUACUGGUCAUUUGCAAACUUAAGUAGUGUGUUUAAUAUGACAGGAAAGGAAAUGUGGGAUAAAUGUAGAUUAUAGGCA
rnacentral:lncRNA from 1 species